ACGGCUCAGUAACACGUGGACAACCUACCCUUGGGACGGGGAUAAACCCGGGAAACUGGGUAUAAUACCCGAUAGUUCUGGGAAGCUGGAAUGCUUCCAGGACGAAAGCUCCGGUGCCCAAGGAUGGGUCUGCGGCCUAUCAGGUAGUAGUGGGUGUAAUGUACCUACUAGCCUACGACGGGUACGGGUUGUGAGAGCAAGAGCCCGGAGAUGGAUUCUGAGACACGAAUCCAGGCCCUUCGGGGUGCAGCAGGCGCGAAAACAUUACAAUGCUGGCAACAGCGAUAAGGGGACCUCGAGUGCCAGGAUACAAUCUUGGCUGUCGUAAUGCCUAAAGAGCAUUUCAUAGCAAGGGCCGGGCAAGACCGGUGCCAGCCGCCGCGGUAACACCGGCGGCUCGAGUGGUAACCGCUAUUAUUGGGUCUAAAGGGUCUGUAGCCGGCCGGAUAAGUCUUUUGGGAAAUCCAGCUGCUCAACAGUUGGGCUUUCAGAAGAUACUGUUCGGCUCGAGACCGGGAGAGGUGAGAGGUACUUCAGGGGUAGGGGUGAAAUCUUGUAAUCCUUGAAGGACCACCAGUGGCGAAGGCGUCUCACCAGAACGGAUCUGACGGCAAGGGACGAAAGCUAGGGGCACGAACCGGAUUAGAUACCCGGGUAGUCCUAGCCGUAAACGAUACUCGCUAGGUGUCAGCCACGGUGCGACCGUGGUUGGUGCCGUAGGGAAGCCGUGAAGCGAGCCACCUGGGAAGUACGGCCGCAAGGCAGAAACUUAAAGGAAUUGGCGGGGGAGCAC
rnacentral:rRNA from 1 species